GAUGAACGCUAGCGAUAGGCUUAACACAUGCAAGUCGAGGGGCAGCACAAGGUAGCUUGCUAUCUGGGUGGCGACCGGCGCACGGGUGCGUAACGCGUAUGCAACUUGCCCUAUACAGGAGGAUAACCCGUCGAAAGACGGACUAAUACUGCGUAUGCUCACAACUUGGCAUCAAGUGGUGAGGAAAGAAAUUCGGUAUAGGAUAGGCAUGCGUCCCAUUAGCUUGUUGGUGAGGUAACGGCUCACCAGGGCAACGAUGGGUAGGGGAACUGAGAGGUUUAUCCCCCACACUGGUACUGAGACACGGACCAGACUCCUACGGGAGGCAGCAGUGAGGAAUAUUGAUCAAUGGGCGCGAGCCUGAACCAGCCAAGUCGCGUGAAGGAUGACUGUCUUAUGGAUUGUAAACUUCUUUUAUACGGGAAUAACAAGAGUCACGUGUGACUCCCUGCAUGUACCGUAUGAAUAAGCAUCGGCUAACUCCGUG
rnacentral:rRNA from 1 species